GACGAACGCUGGCGGCGUGCUUAACACAUGCAAGUCGAACGGAAAGGCCCUGCUCUUGUUGGGUGCUCGAGUGGCGAACGGGUGAGUAACACGUGAGUAACCUGCCCUUGACUUUGGGAUAACUUCAGGAAACUGGGGCUAAUACCGGAUAGGAGCUCCUGCUGCAUGGUGGGGGUUGGAAAGUUUCGGCGGUUGGGGAUGGACUCGCGGCUUAUCCGCUUGUUGGUGGGGUAGUGGCUUACCAAGGCUGUGACGGGUAGCCGGCCUGAGAGGGGGACCGGCCACAUUGGGACUGAGGGACGGCCCAGACUCGUACGGUAGGCAGCAGUGGGGAAUAUGGCACAGUGGGCGGAAGCCUGAGGCAGCAACGCCGCGUGCGGGAUGACGGCCUUCGGGGUGUAAACCGCUUUCGCCUGUAACGAAGCGUGAGUGACGGUAAUGGGUAAAGAAGCACCGGCUAACUACGUG
rnacentral:rRNA from 1 species